UACGUAGGUGACCAGCGUUGUCCGGAUUUACUGGGCGUAAAGAGCGCGCAGGCGGUCGUUCAAGUCGAGUGUGAAAGCCCCCGGCUCAACUGGGGAGGGUCACUCGAUACUGAUCGACUUGAAGGCAGGAGAGGGAAGCGGAAUUCCCGGUGUAGUGGUGAAAUGCGUAGAUAUCGGGAGGAACACCAGUGGCGAAGGCGGCUUCCUGGCCUGUUCUUGACGCUGAGGCGCGAAAGCGUGGGUAGCAAACAGG
rnacentral:rRNA from 1 species